AAUGGUAUGCUGUGAAUAUCACUUACAGGGUGAAAUUUAAAUUGCUUGAAGCCUAAACAUAUCAAAAUUGGCUGAACAAGACCAACUAUAUUCCUUUGAGGUAAAACUAACCAGGUUGAAUAAUUUUCACUCCAAAAGCCUAAUGAAAGGCGUUUAUAAUAGUUGGCACAGCCUGAUUUGAUGCAAACCUACACAAGUAGCAAAUGCAUG
rnacentral:misc_RNA from 1 species